CAUCCUCAAACCUUCUUGGUUUCUUGACCAGGAAGGCUUUGGACUCUGGAGGUUUUUGCUGGCCUUACUUUGUUGAAGCCAGCUCCUCUAAAAUGGAUUAGUGGGAUCUGCUUUGCGGAUACUUGACGGUGAUAAGAUAUUUCUACGUCUUGGAUCUCGCACUGUUCGCUCUGGAUCCUGCUUCUAACCGUCUCAUAGAAGACAAUGGGUUAAGUGAUCGCCACUUGGCCUACAAA
rnacentral:misc_RNA from 1 species